GAUGAACGCUGGCGGCGUGCCUAAUACAUGCAAGUCGAGCGAACGGACGAGAAGCUUGCUUCUCUGAUGUUAGCGGCGGAAGGGUGAGUAACACGUGGAUAACCUACCUAUAAGACUGGGAUAACUUCGGGAAACCGUAGCUAAUACCGGAUAAUAUUUUGAACCGCAUGGUUCAAAAGUGAAAGACGGUCUUGCUGUCACUUAUAGAUGGAUCCGCGCUGCAUUAGCUAGUUGGUAAGGUAACGGCUUACCAAGGCAACGAUGCAUAGCCGACCUGAGAGGGUGAUCGGCCACACUGGAACUGAGACACGGUCCAGACUCCUACGGGAGGCAGCAGUAGGGAAUCUUCCGCAAUGGGCGAAAGCCUGACGGAGCAACGCCGCGUGAGUGAUGAAGGUCUUCAGAUCGUAAAACUCUGUUAUUAGGGAAGAACAUAUGUGUAAGUAACUGUGCACAUCUUAACGGUACCUAAUCAGAAAGCCACGGCUAACUACGUG
rnacentral:rRNA from 1 species